UGCACAGCUACGACAGUAAAUUGACUCACUGUACAAGACCUCCCCCCUUCACUCUACUGCAGGGUGGGAGAUGCAACAAUGUCCUUGAGAACAGCAGGAAGUGUGUUGGGGGUCUUUCUCUGGUCUGUAGCAGGUAUGUGGUCUGUAGCAGCUCUCUCUCCAGAGUGUCCAUCCUGACCCUAACUAGGACACACACACCACUGAAAAUGAGGACCAGACACUCUGGCAGUAGUGUGAAAAUCCCCCACAGUGACACGUUCACAUCUCUUCAGAGAGACGCUCAGCACUCCGUAUAUCAGACCAUCCCGGAGAGAAAACCACCACAGAACCUGGACUGAUAGAACCACCGCAGAACCUGGAGGGAAGAGAACCACCACUGAAUCUGGAGGAAGGAGAACUACCACAGAACCUGGAGAGAAGAGAACCACCACAGAACCUGGAGAGAAGAGAACCACCACAGAACCUGGACUAAAGAGAACCACCACAGAACCUGCACUGAAGAGAACCACCACAGAACCUGGACUAAAGAGAACCACCACAGAACCUGCACUGAAGAGAACCACCACAGAACCUGGACUAAAGAGAACCACCACAGAACCUGGACAAAAGAGCUAUGGCCCCAAACCAAAGCUAGUCCUUACACUCUAUUCUCUUGCUAAUAUAUUGUUAUAAUAUAAUGAAGGUUCACCCAAGUUACAAAAUGACACAUUGGUUUCCCUUCCCUUUUAGCAGUCUAUGAACAUGGUGACAUCAGUCCCUACUUUGGUUUAGUUUCCCCUGACACUGUUUCCACCUGCUAACGUUUUAGCAUUCGUGGCACAAAUCCCAUUCGUCAUGUGACUGAUAAGAGGCAUUUCUUGCACAUCAUUUCGAAAUCAAUCAAAAGUUUAAAAAAAAUGCGUUGUGAAGGUCAACAAAGUCACUUCUAGAUGAUUUGAACAUGAUGAGAGAAAUCUUAAUAUCAGUCCCGUGGCUUGAAUGGGAUUUUUGUAAAUGUGGGAGUAUUCGACAUAGCAGCUGACUUUAUAGGCAAGUUGAGAUCUACAAAUCACCUUGCAUGAUGAAUAACUACUCAAUAUUAUUUAUAAAUUAUUCAGUCAGUCACAAUUUACCCAUGAUACAUCAGUUUUGAUGUUCUCGAACACUGUCUGAGUGACUGCUGAAGGAAACCCUCUCUGCAUAAGCUUCUUGGUCCCUGACAUAGAGUUGGAUAGAAGGUACAUCUUGACAUCUUUGUUAUGAUGUCUUCUGUGACAGAAUGAGCAGCACCAUUGAGGGCUAUUUCCAUAUUAAAGUAGUUAAUAUCUUCAACUUCCAUAAGUUUAAUAACAGUCGGUAUACCAACUGAAAUGGUGUAUUCAAUGGCUUUAGUCAUGCUAAAAUGGGCUUUGAAGCAAGUAUGCCCUCUAUUCAACUCUAUUGUCCCUGACUGCUUCAAUGUUGUGUCAACCAGACUUCAAACCUCACACUCAGUGUCUAUUUAUAUAGACUUCCAGUAAGUUAACUUGCAACACAUCUCCCCUUCACUCUGUAAGUAUGCUUGAUGAUAUCUUAAAAUAUGUUUAUUUUAUCAUUUGUUUGUUUCCAUGAACUUCUGUAUCCUGUUAUGUGCAUGGCGAUGCUAUUGUAAUGUAUGUUUUGUUUUUCUGUUAUUUACAGUAUACUCUGUAGAUGUAUUUCUGUGUAUUUAAUCUGAUACAGUAUUGUACAUGUGGUUACACAUAUAAUACUUUAGCAUGGUAUUUUAAGGACUCUGAAAGCAAUAGAUUGUUGUGGAGACUUGUUUGAAAAUGACCUAAAGUAAGACUGAAAGUAACAGUGAUUAGGUGGAUGCUUCAUAAGAGCUUUAGGAUUAGUAUUAACAUGAGACACAGUGAUGGUGGGUUGUGUAUAGGAGUAGUAUUACCAUGAGACACAGUGAUGGAGGGUUGUGUUUAGGAGUAGUAUUAACAUGAGACACAGUGAUGGUGGGUUGUGUUUAGGAGUAGUAUUAACAUGAGACACAGUGAUGGUGGGUUGUGUUUAGGAGUAGUAUAAACCUAAGACACAGUGAUGGUGGGUUGUGUUUAGGAGUAGUAUUAACAUGAGACACAGUGAUGGUGGGUUGUGUUUAGGAGUAGUAUUAACAUGAGACACAGUGAUGGUGGGUUGUGUUUAGGAGUAGUAUUAACAUGAGACACAGUGAUGGUGGGUUGUGUUUAGGAGUAGUAUUAACAUGAGACACAGUGAUGGUGGGUUGUGUUUAGGAGUAGUAUUAACAUGAGACACAGUGAUGGUGGGUUGUGUUUAGGAGUAGUAUUAACAUGAGACACAGUGAUGGUGGGUUGUGUUUAGGAGUAGUAUUAACAUGAGACACAGUGAUGGUGGGUUGUGUUUAGGAGUAGUAUUAACAUGAGACACAGUGAUGGUGGGUUGUGUUUAGGAGUAGUAUUAACAUGAGACACAGUGAUGGUGGGUUGUGUUUAGGAGUAGUAUUAACAUGAGACACAGUGAUGGUGGGUUGUGUUUAGGAGUAGUAUUAACAUGAGACACAGUGAUAGUGGUUGUGUUUAGGAGUAGUAUUAACAUGAGACACAGUGAUGUUGGGUUGUGUUUAGGAGUAGUAUAAACAUGAUACAGUGACGGUGGGUUGUGGUUUUGUUGGUUUAAAUGCACACACUCAGUAUCACUUCCCUGUUCUCCUUUCCUGUCUGUCCUCUGACAGACCUCCCGAGUCAUAUCAGAAAUCUGUAUAUACACAUUAGACUUUACAGAACAUGUCCCUCUGUAGCUCAGUUGGUAGAACAUGGCACCUGCAACGUUAUGGGUUUGGUUCCCAGGACCACCCAUUGGUGCUCUAGUCUAGAUCACUGAACCUUCAGUACCACUUUGAUUCAGCCGAUGAGGAGUGAUGGUCAUGGGUGUUUAAAUGGAAUGGGUUCUAAUUGAAUAACAUCAUGGAACUUUGACCUGUAUAUACAGAACUCAGAAGGGCAAGGUAGGUCAUUAAAAUGUUAACGUUAUAAAUAGUUUAGUCAACACAUUGUUUACAUGGUUCUGUAUGUAGUAUAAAAGACCACAGUGAAAAUUGACACAUUUGUUUAAUAAAAUAAAUAUAUGCCCAGACAUGUCUUUUCCACAAUUUCUGUUCUAUUACAGUAACAGCCCUUUUCUGGCGUGUUGGUCUGGUUGUCGUGGAUGUUAAUGUCUUUAAUAAACAGGAAGGACA